rnacentral:rRNA from 1 species
AGGUGGGACCACCGCGCUACUGCCGCCAGGCAAAUUCUGUUAUCAGACCGUUUUUACGUUCUGAUGUAAUCUGAAUCAGUGCUGAAAAUCGUCUCUCAUCCNNNNNNNNNNNNNNNNNNNNGAAUCAGUGCUGAAAAUCGUCUCUCAUCCGCCAAAACAUCUUCGGCGUUGUAAGGUUAAGCCUCACGGUUCAUUAGUACCGGUUAGCUCAACGCAUCGCUGCGCUUACACACCCGGCCUAUCAACGUCGUCGUCUUCAACGUUCCUUCAGGAGACCUAAAGUCUCAGGGAGAACUCAUCUCGGGGCAAGUUUCGUGCUUAGAUGCUUUCAGCACUUAUCUCUUCCGCAUUUAGCUACCGGGCAGUGCCAUUGGCAUGACAACCCGAACACCAGUGAUGCGUCCACUCCGGUCCUCUCGUACUAGGAGCAGCCCCCCUCAGUUCUCCAGCGCCCACGGCAGAUAGGGACCGAACUGUCUCACGACGUUCUAAACCCAGCUCGCGUACCACUUUAAAUGGCGAACAGCCAUACCCUUGGGACCUACUUCAGCCCCAGGAUGUGAUGAGCCGACAUCGAGGUGCCAAACACCGCCGUCGAUAUGAACUCUUGGGCGGUAUCAGCCUGUUAUCCCCGGAGUACCUUUUAUCCGUUGAGCGAUGGCCCUUCCAUUCAGAACCACCGGAUCACUAUGACCUGCUUUCGCACCUGCUCGCGCCGUCACGCUCGCAGUCAAGCUGGCUUAUGCCAUUGCACUAACCUCCUGAUGUCCGACCAGGAUUAGCCAACCUUCGUGCUCCUCCGUUACUCUUUAGGAGGAGACCGCCCCAGUCAAACUACCCACCAGACACUGUCCGCAACCCGGGUAACGGGUCCACGUUAGAACAUCAAACAUUAAAGGGUGGUAUUUCAAGGUCGGCUCCAUGCAGACUGGCGUCCACACUUCAAAGCCUCCCACCUAUCCUACACAUCAAGGCUCAAUGUUCAGUGUCAAGCUAUAGUAAAGGUUCACGGGGUCUUUCCGUCUUGCCGCGGGUACACUGCAUCUUCACAGCGAGUUCAAUUUCACUGAGUCUCGGGUGGAGACAGCCUGGCCAUCAUUACGCCAUUCGUGCAGGUCGGAACUUACCCGACAAGGAAUUUCGCUACCUUAGGACCGUUAUAGUUACGGCCGCCGUUUACCGGGGCUUCGAUCAGGAGCUUCGCUUGCGCUGACCCCAUCAAUUAACCUUCCGGCACCGGGCAGGCGUCACACCGUAUACGUCCACUUUCGUGUUUGCACAGUGCUGUGUUUUUAAUAAACAGUUGCAGCCAGCUGGUAUCUUCGACUGACUUCAGCUCCAUGAGUAAAUCACUUCACCUACGUGUCAGCGUGCCUUCUCCCGAAGUUACGGCACCAUUUUGCCUAGUUCCUUCACCCGAGUUCUCUCAAGCGCCUUGGUAUUCUCUACCUGACCACCUGUGUCGGUUUGGGGUACGAUUUGAUGUUACCUGAUGCUUAGAGGCUUUUCCUGGAAGCAGGGCAUUUGUUGCUUCAGCACCGUAGUGCCUCGUCGUCACGCCUCAGUGUUAAAGUGAACCGGAUUUACCUGGAACACACACCUACACGCUUAAACCGGGACAACCGUCGCCCGGCCAACAUA